UACGUAGGGUGCAAACGUUGUCCGGAUUUAUUGGGCGUAAAGAGCGUGUAGGCGGUCAGGUAGGUCCGUUGUGAAAACUCGAGGCUCAACCUCGAGACGCCGAUGGAAACCAUCUGACUAGAGUCCGGAAGAGGAGAGUGGAAUUCCUGGUGUAGCGGUGAAAUGCGCAGAUAUCAGGAAGAACACCGGUGGCGAAGGCGGCUCACUGGCUCAUAUCUGACGCUCAGGCGCGACAGCGUGGGGAUCAAACAGG
rnacentral:rRNA from 1 species